rnacentral:rRNA from 1 species
AUUGAACGCUGGCGGCAUGCCUUACACAUGCAAGUCGAACGGCAGCGCGGGAGCAAUCCUGGCGGCGAGUGGCGAACGGGUGAGUAAUACAUCGGAACGUGCCCAAUCGUGGGGGAUAACGCAGCGAAAGAUGUGCUAAUACCACAUACGAUCUACGGAUGAAAGUAGGGGACCGCAAGGCCUAGCGGGAAUGGAGCGGCCGAUGGCAGAUUAGGUAGUUGGUGGGGGAAAGGCUCACCAAGCCAACGAUGUGUAGCUGGUCGGAGAGGACGACCAGCCACACUGGGAAUGAGACACGGCCCAGACUCCUACGGGAGGCAGCAGUGGGGAAUUUUGGACAAUGGGCGCAAGCCUGAUCCAGCCAUGCCGCGUGCAGGAUGAAGGCCUUCGGGUUGUAAACUGCUUUUGUACGGAACGAAAAGGUCCUUUCUAAUAAAGAGGGCUCAUGACGGUACCGUAAGAAUAAGCACCGGCUAACUACGUGCCAGCCGCCGCCGUAAUAC